CGGAACACCGAAAGUCCGGGAAACCCAAGCUGCGAGAUUAGAUGAAUCAAUCGCUUCAUGGCCACCACACCACCAGCCGAAAACCCUCAAUCGCCUUCAUCUGCUUCCUCCUCGAAGCCUAGCCAGCCCUUAUCAUCUUCCAGAACCAGCCACCUCUUCAACACCCCACCUCACCGUCUUCAUCUCUCUUCCCCAUCUUCCUCUCCAUCUUCCCGCGUGAUCUACAGUGAUCGAUUCAUCCCUAGCCGACUUGGUUCCAACUUCGCCCUUUUUGACAUCGGAGGCGACGGAAGCAAAGACUCUAACUCCAGCCCAUACGCGGCGGUUCUCCGAAGCGUCAUCUUUGGAUCGGAUCACGGUGUUGUCCCGCCGGAGACUCCCGAUCGGUGCUCAUCUUCUCCUUCAUCGGCUUCGUCAAGCUCAUUUUCGACUCCGAGAAGGAAUAUUUUUAGGUUUAAGGCGGAGGUGCCACGGUAUUCAGCUUAUUCUGCGGGGUUUAAUGACGAUGUCCUUCCUGAAGUUGUUCCAAACCAGCCUAAGGCGAGCAGGAAGGUCUCCAAAUCGCCUUACAAGGUGCUCGAUGCACCUGCAUUGCAGGAUGAUUUCUACCUCAACCUAGUUGAUUGGUCUUCGCAUAAUGUUUUGGCUGUGGGACUGGGAAAUUGCGUUUACCUUUGGAAUGCUUGCAGCAGCAAGGUUACGAAGCUCUGUGACUUUGGUGUGGAUGAUAGUGUUUGUUCGGUGGGGUGGGCCCAACGAGGCACUCAUUUAGCUGUCGGAACGAGCCUCGGCAAACUUCAGAUAUGGGAUGCUUCACGUUGUCGGAGGAUAAGAACUAUGGAGGGCCAUCGUCUUCGGGUUGGAGCUCUAGCAUGGAGUUCGUCUGUAUUAUCUUCAGGAAGCCGUGAUAAGAGUAUACUUCAGCGUGAUAUUCGUGCGCAGGAUGAUUUUGUUAGCAAGUUAACAGGGCAUAAAUCAGAGGUUUGCGGGCUAAAGUGGUCUUAUGAUAACCGUCAGCUGGCAUCUGGAGGAAAUGAUAAUAGACUUUUCGUUUGGAAUAAGCAUUCAAACCAACCUGUACUCAAGUAUUGUGAACAUACAGCAGCUGUUAAAGCUAUUGCUUGGUCUCCACAUGCGCAUGGUCUUCUAGCAUCCGGUGGAGGAACCGCAGAUAGAUGCAUUCGGUUUUGGAACACCACAGCUAAUUCUCACCUUAACUGCAUUGAUACAGGAAGUCAGGUAUGUAAUCUUGUAUGGUCAAAAAAUGUCAAUGAAAUCGUGAGCACUCAUGGAUAUUCCCAGAAUCAAAUAAUAAUUUGGCGGUACCCAGCCAUGUCAAAGGUUGCCGCCCUUACUGGUCAUACAUUUAGAGUGUUAUAUCUGGCAAUAUCACCAGACGGACAGACAAUUGUCACCGGUGCUGGAGAUGAGACGCUAAGAUUUUGGAAUGUGUUUCCAUCACCUAAAUAUCAGAACACUGUGAGCCAGAUUGGAGCCUUCUCUCUUGGUAGAACACAUAUUCGGUGACCUUUGAAGGAUUCUAAAUUAUGGAAAUUGCUAGAAGCUGCUGCCUCUACUUUGGUAGCUGGAUGCUCUACCAUUAUUGAGGUCAUGCCUUCUGUCAUUGCAGUUAUGCUUGUUGAUCUCCAGAAAUCUAAAGAAAUUGAUGAAGCUGAUGCAAUCCCACAGCUAGCUUUAUUUAUCUCAGAUUUCCAGUUUUGGGAUGCAUGUAGCUGUUGACAACUGUAAAUAUGGAAUGAACUUUCCAAAUUCCAACCAUGGUAAUGAUGAAGACAGAUUUUCUGCAAACUAAUAUUAGUGAUACUGGGGAAGCAAAUAGUUUUUCUGUCAAAUAAAUCCAACCUGACAUAAUGAAAUGACACCCCUAAAUUGUUCACGGAGUCUUUGUAGUAAUUGUUUUUGUGAACAUCUGCUAGUACCUCUGAAAUGGGAGAGAGAUCAAUAAAGCAUCCAUGUAAGGUGAAUCAUCAUAGUCUACUAACUCAUCAAUCUCAAAAGCAUGAUGCAGAACAAUGCGGCAGUGGGUAGGCUGAAUACUGGAUAAUAUAGCCAGGGUAAUCAGCUGGUGGCUAGGCUCCUACUGGAGGAUAACCAGUUGCCGGACUAUGCGGUGGGAGGAGGAUAGCAAUAUGGUGGCUGAGGUGGCAAUACAUAAGCUCGUUGUAGCAG